UGAGGUCAAAAGAUUGUACCCUAAUUUCUUGAAUGAGAUAUUUGCCAUCGACUGAAGGUAAAUCUAUUCUAUGUGAAUAUAAUACUCUUUUAUUUGGACUUUUAUGCUUGUAAUUAGUCGCUCUUGGUCUUGGGCUUUUAUCCUUCUAUUGACUUGUUUAAUUCUUUUGUUUUAUGCAGAUCAUGGUAUAGCUAGCCUCUCUUCCACUCAACUUGAAGAUAUGCUUUUUCUUGCUGUGGAUUUGGGGACUUCUUUUUUCCGUUAGGUUUUAGUUGGAUUGUGAAACUUUUUUAAGCGAGUUUUUGUUUUUUUAAGAGUAUUGGAAGACAUCAUUAUUUUUUCUUUUUCUUGAACAAUAAUGCUAUGAGCACCAAAUUAUUUACCAACUAAUGUGGA
rnacentral:lncRNA from 1 species